rnacentral:rRNA from 1 species
UACGUAGGGGGCUAGCGUUGUCCGGAAUCAUUGGGCGUAAAGCGCGUGUAGGCGGUCCGGUAAGUCCGCUGUGAAAGUCGGGGGGCUCAACCCUCGAAUGCCGGUGGAUACUGUCGGGCUAGAGUGCGGAAGAGGCGAGUGGAAUUCCUGGUGUAGCGGUGAAAUGCGCAGAUAUCAGGAGGAACACCGGUGGCGAAGGCGGCUACCUGGACAGAAACUGACGCUGGAGGCGCGAAAGCCUAGGGGAGCAAAACAGG